GGAUGUGAGGGGAUCUGGCUGCGACAUCGGUCACCCCAUUGACACCAGGGUUGAUUCAGCUGAUCUGGCUGACUAGGUGGGUGUCCCCUUCCUCCCUCACUGCUCCAUGUGCAUCCCUCCCGAAGCUGCGCGCUCGAUCGAAGAGGAUGACCUUCCCUGGUAGAGGAAGACCGUUCUUCUGUCAAGGGUAUAUGAGUAGCUGCAUUCCCCUACUAGAACCUCCAAACAAGCUCUCAAACUUGCAUCAAAGAGUUUCAUCCAGACUUAGAACUGAAAACUUCAAAUACAGCUUUGAGGCGUUUCUACUAUUGUU
rnacentral:snRNA from 1 species